UUAUACUUAAGCAAAUGCCUUUUUUUUUCUGAAAUUAAGUGAAAUUUAAUCGAGCUAAAAGUUAGAAAAUUCCAUACAUUCCAAAAAUCGAAAUAUAGGUUAAAAAUUGAAGAAUUGGGGGUUUCUUAACAUAAACAGUCUCCAUUAGAAGAAACUUGUUAUGUAAGAAAGCAUAUUAUUAAUUACUCCUUGUUAAAAGAAGUUUAACCUUUUUGGAGAAAGAAUUAGAAGCUUCCGAAGGUAGAAAUUGAGAGAGGUCUCCCAUGUAAUCCUCUUCUUCUACUGCUUCCGCCAUUGCUGUCGAUUCUCAGCUCGGUGCAGAUCAAACGUACAGACUUUUGAUUUAAUGUCUAUCGAAUAAUUGGUUCAAUUCCAAAACUCAUUCACCCUGCAAAUCUGUAGGCGAGAGUUGAGCAGAAAGAUUUCUCUGCAACGUGACUGUUUGGCUUUAAAGAAUUUGCGAAUAGCUUGACCUCCUUUAUUUAAAUUUAUUUUCGAUAACAG
rnacentral:lncRNA from 1 species